rnacentral:rRNA from 1 species
AUUGAACGCUGGCGGCAGGCCUAACACAUGCAAGUCGAACGAGUGGCGGACGGGUGAGAAAUGUCUGGGAAACGGCCUGAUGGAGGGGGAUAACUACUGGAAACGGUAGCUAAUACCGCAUACCAGCGGAUGUGCCCAGAUGGGAUUAGCUAGUAGGUGGGGAAAAGUCUCACCUAGGCGACGAUCCCUAGCUGGUCUGCGAGGAUGACCAGCAAAACCGAAACUGUGAAACGGUCCAGACUCCUACGGGAGGCAGCAGUGGGGAAUAGUGCACAAUGGGCGCAAGCCUGAUGCAGCCAUGCCGCGUGUGUGAAGAAGGCCUUCGGGUUGUAAAGGACUUUCAGCGGGGAGGCGUUACCCGCAGAAGAAGCACCGGCUAACGCCGUGCCAGCAGCCGCGGUAAUUC